AAUAGAUACCCCGGUAGUCCAUGCCGUAAACGUUGGGAACUAGGUGUGGGUCUCAUUUCCACGAGAUCCGUGCCGCAGCUAACGCAUUAAGUUCCCCCGCCUGGGGAGUACGGCCGCAAGGCUAAAACUCAAAGGAAUUGACGGGGGCCCGCACAAGCGGCGGAGCAUGCGGAUUAAUUCGAUGCAACGCGAAGAACCUUACCAAGGCUUGACAUACACCGGAAACAUCCAGAGAUGGGUGCCCCGCAAGGUCGGUGUACAGGUGGUGCAUGGUUGUCGUCAGCUCGUGUCGUGAGAUGUUGGGUUAAGUCCCGCAACGAGCGCAACCCUCGUUCUAUGUUGCCAGCACGUGAUGGUGGGGACUCAUAGGAGACUGCCGGGGUCAACUCGGAGGAAGGUGGGGAUGACGUCAAAUCAUCAUGCCCCUUAUGUCUUGGGCUUCACGCGUGCUACAAUGGCCGGUACAAAGGGCUGCGAAACCGUGAGGUGGAGCGAAUCCCAAAAAACCGGUCUCAGUUCGGAUUGGGGUCUGCAACUCGACCCC
rnacentral:rRNA from 1 species